UAAUAAUCAUCAUUCGAUUUUGAUAUAACGAUAUCAUUAUUUAUUUACUCCGUAGCCGAUGAAUUGAUUGAUUAGCCCGAAAUGUUGUUAAUGUUGUUAAUUUGUUGUGGUACGAAUGGUAAUGUUCAGUGAUUGCACUAUAUCAAAUUGCAGGACAAAAACCACGUGCUCGUGUGCACUAUGUCGGAAUGUUCUGAGCCUUGGACCUUAAAUAUGCCU